GCUAAACGCGAAGAACCUUACCCAGACUUGACAUGCACUAGACCGCUUCAGAAAUGAAGCUUCCCUUCGGGGCUGGUGCACAGGUGCUGCAUGGCUGUCGUCAGCUCGUGCCGUGAGGUGUUGGGUUAAGUCCCGCAACGAGCGCAACCCUUAUCAUUAGUUGCCAACACGUAAUGGUGGGAACUCUAAUGAGACUGCCUGGGUUAACCAGGAGGAAGGUGAGGAUGACGUCAAGUCCGCAUGGCCCUUAUGUCUGGGGCUACACACGUGCUACAAUGGUCGGUACAAAAGGCAGCGAAACCGUGAGGUGAAGCAAAUCCCGAAAGCCGGCCCCAGUUCAGAUUGUAGUCUGCAACUCGACUACAUGAAGAUGGAAUUGCUAGUAAUGGCGAGUCAGCAACAUCGCCGUGAAUACGUUCCCGGGUC
rnacentral:rRNA from 1 species